GUCAUCUAGGCCUUCUUCGUCUUCUGGUAGAGACCAGCGCUGAUGUAAACGUACAGGAUCAGAGAGGACAAACAGCACUACUCCAGGCAGUGUCACGUGAUGACAUGGAUCUCCUCCGUCUUCUGAUAGAGAAGAAGGCUGAUAUAAACGUACAAGAUCAGGAUGGGGAUACACCUUUAUACGUGGCAGCAUCACGCGGUAUCGUGGACGUUGCUCGAAUCCUUGCCGAGCAGGGUGCUAAUGUCAACAUACAGAAUAAGG